rnacentral:rRNA from 1 species
GACGAACGCUGGCGGCGUGCCUAAUACAUGCAAGUAGAACGCUGAAGGGAGGAGCUUGCUCUUCUUGGAUGAGUUGCGAACGGGUGAGUAACGCGUAGGUAACCUGCCUUGUAGCGGGGGAUAACUAUUGGAAACGAUAGCUAAUACCGCAUAACAAUGGAUGACCCAUGUCAUUUAUUUGAAAGGGGCAAAUGCUCCACUACAAGAUGGACCUGCGUUGUAUUAGCUAGUAGGUGAGGUAACGGCUCACCUAGGCGACGAUACAUAGCCGACCUGAGAGGGUGAUCGGCCACACUGGGACUGAGACACGGCCCAGACUCCUACGGGAGGCAGCAGUAGGGAAUCUUCGGCAAUGGGGGCAACCCUGACCGAGCAACGCCGCGUGAGUGAAGAAGGUUUUCGGAUCGUAAAGCUCUGUUGUAAGUCAAGAACGAGUGUGAGAGUGGAAAGUUCACACUGUGACGGUAGCUUACCAGAAAGGGACGGCUAACUACGUG